UUAGACAAUUUUUUUUUUUGAAAUGACUAACUUUAGACAAUUAAGUGUUCUGAAUUUUGAUCAAAUACGACUAAAUGGAUCAAAUAUAUUUAAAUUGUUGAUAUAUUUGUUAGUUUAUGAUCAUUACAGAACCCCCAACUUAUUGUUUUCUGAUCCAAUUGCUUAUUGACUGUAUAGGGUAGUAACAUUGAUUGAAACAAUAUUGAGUUAUUGACAAUGUAUAAAUAUCUUUUCUACCUCAAGCAACACUUCUUCAUUUCAUUCAAAAAAAAAAAAAACCCGCCGCAAUGCGCGGGCAAUCUUGCUAGUUAUACAUAUACUAAAGUUGAUCGAUUUCCUGGUACUGUUACUAAGCCGGUAACAGAGGCGGCUCGAGCUGAGCCGACACUAUGAAAUGACUGUUUUGCCCUUCGUUUCAGCCCUAGGUAUAAAAGGCAUCUUUAUCCUGCGCCGGAGCUGCUUUCUUUUCUCUUGCGUUCCUCUCUCUCUCUCUCUCUCGCUUUUCUGCUCUCUUGAAUCUCAACUCUCUCAAAUAUUGGUCAAAUUUCUUGAUCGUGAUUCAGCCAGGCCUAUCGCUUUCACCUAUCAGUUUCGAUUGAGGUGGCAACUUUUUGAUUAAAUCAAAGGGUCGGGUUAAGCACUUAGGUGUCUUUGAGAUUUUGAGUUUCAGUUUGGGAAGGAAGGAGAGAAUGUAUCUCAAUCUAUAAGGAGAGAAUGGAAAUUUUCUGGUGGUGUACAAAGGGCUGUUGGCCACUAAUCACUUUGUAAAGGAAUGGAAAUGAAAGGCCUGGACGAAUCAGAUGAUAUACAAGUAGUUUCUAGAUUAUUUCAAUCGGGAACAGUUUAUUUCUCUUCACACAAAUACUAUUCCAAUUAAUGUAACAUACAAUAUUUUAUCAGUUUGAUCAAGAAUGAAAUCAUUUUCAGUUAUAUUUUUCAUUAUUGUAGAUUAUUACCAAUAAAAAAUCCCGUGGCAACGCGCGGGUGCCGUUACUAGUUAUAUUCUAGCAUGUAUGCCAAAGUUGCCUAGUUGUUGAAUUCACAACCUAGUAGCAGCUUCCAGAAAAUUCUUUAAAAAGUGAACCCCAUCAGCAAAAAUAAAACCAUUUUACAUUUCAGUACCCUCAUAAUAACAAUUGUUACGUUCAUCCAAAUAAUUGAAGACUUUAACGGAGCAGUUUUUAUUUAUUUAUUUUUUUUAUUUUUUUUUAUGCCACUUUAACGGAUUAGUUGUAGAUUUGGGCAUAACAAGGAAAGGCCCAAGUACAUCUAAGAGGCCCGUGCGGUGGCGGAUCCCUCCUUUCAGGCAAAGGUGCAACUCGCUGUGAAAGCCGCAACUUGUGCAUCUUUUGCCUACUUCUUUUGUGGGACGGUCCCGUUGAUCGUACGCGUCGUCAAAACGGAAAGGGAGAUCACCAAGUCCGGGCCAGCCUAUUAUUUGAAAUGGAAACUGAGUGAAGAGGAGGAAACUGAGUGAAGAGAAACAGAGGCCUUAAGCAUCCAAGUGAAUUUUAUUUUGCUGCUUAUAUAACCUUUAAUUUAAGGGUGCCCUUAAUCUAAUGUAAUAUGUGAGUAAACUGGGGUAUUGCCUUCCAGUUCAGAGCGUCAUGCUUCUUUUCUUGAUUGGGUGACUUACUGUAUCCAGGUUCUUUCACAUGACCAGUUUGAUUUUUUACUCUACCUUAUUUGGGUGGUCUGGAAAGAAAGAAAUCAGAGAGUGUGGGAGUCUAGGGCCUUUUCUCUACACCACGUCUACUUCCAAGCUUUUUCUAGUUUCUCCUUGUUUGUAUCUCUUCAACCAUUGAAGGGUUUCAAAGCUCAGCGUGCAGCAGUUGCUUGGGUACCUCCUCCUGCGGGGUGGAUCAAAGUGAACCUUGAUGGAGCCUUUGAUGAUAGGGCGAAGAAGGGAGGUGUUGGGAUAAUUGUUCGUGACCCGGAUGGGUCUGUUGUAGGGAGUUCAUGCUUUAGUGUUGAUGAAGUGUACUCCCCCGACAUUGUGGAAGCACUUGCAGGCAGAGCAGCGUGUGCAUGGGCAUUACUCAUUAGAGUUUAAUCAAUCGCCUGUUAUUUUUGAGAGUGACUGUCUCUCUUUGGUCAAUUCUAUAAACUCAGGUGAUGAAGAUACAUCCCAUUUAGGAAGGGUGAUUGAGGAUAUUCAGGCUCAACUUUGUAGCCUACCGGGUUCCUUCUUUCAACAUGCUUACUGUGAAUCUAAUACGGCUGCACAUAGAAUGGCUAAGCAAGCCAUGUUGUCAGGUUUAUUUGCUCACUGGCAGGGAGCUAUUCCUCCAGAUUUGGGAAGUCUUGUUGCUUCCUAUUGUAACAUUUGAACUCUCUGAGUAAUAAAACUUCUUUCGUCCUGCUCUCAAAAAAAAUGUAAUAUGCGAGUAGUUGUAAUUGUUCACGUUUGUAUGUUAACUGUCUAAUGUAAUAUGCGAGUAGUUGUAAUUAUUCGCAUAUGUAUGUAACCGUAUGUCUUUAAUGGUCUUAUUUUGAGACUCUAAAGUAUCACUAUUUAUAUACAACUGAAUCUGAAUGUUUAAGCAUUAGCCCCAUAUGGAGGUCCUGCACCUAUUUCUUUGCAAAAUGUUUUGUGUGAAUGGAAGUUCCUGCAAGUCUCACCAGAUAAAAAAAAAAUCACUAUUCAUGUCACAAAAGAAAGAAAAAAGAGAGGUAAACUGGAAAAGCAAAUAAAAUGAGGAGUACAAGAAAAGAACAUUCUCAUUAAAUCAAGUAUGGUUGUUGCAAACCAAUCUGUAACUGAAUCAAUAGAGGGGUCUUCUUCAUAAUAACACCUUUGUUCAAUCUGCUAAGUAGCAGUGCUGUUGUUCAACUCUCGAUCAAGGUAGAAAAGAGAACAGGAGCACCACACUGCCAAUAUUAUCAUUUAAAACAUGAUAAGUCCAGAGGUAUUUCUGCACAAUUAAUCGAUCCAUUCCUAGUUGGAAGAGAGCGGGUACAAGUGUUGCUCUGCUACACUGAGAGAAGAGGUCUCUAUACACUUUUAAGGGCUGUUGUGCUUGGUCAGGGACUUGAACCUGAUGGUUGUAUCUGACAUUCAAAUAUAUUUGGAAAAUCUUAUCAAUCGUGGGCUUAGACAGAGGUUAAUAUUAGAGAUAUAAGGAAAAUUGCUGCUCAUCAUUUCAGCUUCAGAUUAUAAAUCGAAAACUUCCCCUUGAGAUGAUGAUUAUGCUACCAAUUGCUUCUGACGUUUUAUGUAUUGCUGAGAUUAUCAAAGGCAACUUAUUGUUACUCUUCUGCCAAUCUUCUUCCAUCACUUCACAAAAGUAUUUAUCAAUUUUCAAAAAGGAAUCUUCUUCUAUCAUUGAUAUGGAACUUAAUCGAGAAGAACCAGCUGGCAUGGCCUGGGUGGGCCUCAUUCUGAACGAUAUGUUCUCGAUUCUAGAGGUGCUCUUGUUGUACGACAAGCUGUGAUUUCCAGGGAAAGGCUCAUACUUGGACAUUGCCUCGUUUUUUCUAUUCUGGUUGUGCAGACAAAUUACAUUCAGUCUUCUUUUUUCUUUCGUGAUCGCUUUCGUACCAGACAGUAGACACUCAGAGUGCAGCACCUGAUAAAGCAUCUGUCCUGUCCCGGGUGCCUCCAUUCGACAUAAAUUUCAUGAAAUUGUUAAAAAAAAAAAAAAAAAGAUUGUAGUUUUUCCUUCUUGUUGUUUAUGAAUUUUGUGUUUGGAAAUUGCUGCUCAUCAUUUGAGCUUCAGGUAAUGGCAGCCGGAAAUGAUCCAAAUCUUGAGGGCUUUGUCAUUACCAUAAGGCCGGCUUGGGAUGUACACUUGAUGUUAAUAGAAGAUGCUCUUACUGGAAGGGAUUCUAUUUCAAGUGGUUCGUCGAGUGAUUUGGGUUAUCUACAGUUGUGCUUGGAAGUGUUUUUUUUUUUUUUUUUUCAGAAAACGUCUUCCAGUUUAUAUUAGAUAGAGUUCUUAAAAACUGCAGCAUAUGAGGUUGGUUCUUAUGCUCUGAAUUCUGUUUUUUUAAUAGUUGCGUCAAAUGCUUAACACGUUGCUUCGUCUUCGUGUCACCUAAAUCCUAACCCCGGUGCUCCAGUUGCAAUGUCAUAAUGUUAGUAUGUUACCCAAGUAGCCUUACAUCUAGUCCCAUUGAAUAAGUCGGUUUUCUAUGAUUGGUUAAUUGGCUGUUUGAGGCCUUUGAAUGGGGUUAAUCUACAGUAUUGCAUUUCCUACAUUGUUUUCCUUUUGAAUAGAAACAACCCUGUAUUGUUUUUCAUUGGCAUUCCUGUAAGGAUGGUGUAACAUGUGCAGAAUGAUGAAGAGGAUAUAAGCUAUAAGUACGACGCCUAUCUUCAGAAGUUGAUCACCUAUUCACCUGCUUCUUACUCACCCACUUGCCAUAGACAAGGUCAAAGAAUCAAAGAAUUAAAGGAGAGGGCUAUGAGCGUGCUUAGUCCAUACUGCCUGGUUGGGUCACAUGAGCUUUCGCAUGAUAGUAACCAAACUGCACAAGCCUCUGAAAGUGGUCCAUUUGUCUCUCUUUUGGAGUUUGUGAGUGAAUUUAUCGGUUGUCUGGCAAUGACGUCUUGUGGACAUUUGUGAACUUUGCUGGAGAGGACGAUACAAAUUUUCAAACUCUUGUGGCUCUCUUGAAUAUACUGAGUACCUUGGCUUCUAGUCAAGAAGGUGCUGCAAUGGUUUUGGAGUUACUUCAGGGCAAAGUGUUUCGUUCUGUUGGGUGGAGCGCCUUGUUUAAUAGCUUGUCAAUUUAUACAGAGAAAUUUUAAACAGUCCCUUGCUGGUGCCAUGUUACUGGAACUCCCAGAGGGUGAUGCUUAUUUGAAUGUCCUUCAAAAGGUUGUGGAUAAUGGAAAUCCCCUUGAACGAAAUAUUUGGAAGGAUAUAGUUUUCCUGAUACCGUUUGUGCUUAGCUGUUAGAUAUUUUGAGCAUUAAGCUUUGCCAAUUUUGUAAGGAGGUAUAUCAUGAUGGUGGAAAUGUGCCGGGGAAUAGAGAUCAGUUAAUAACCAUGUUACUUCCACUAGUGGAACAUGUGCUGAAUGUCUUCCAAAGCCAUUUUCAGUAUAGCUCUUUGGCAUCUGAUCCCCCUCGUUUUUUGAAGACAAUUACAAAUGGUGCCAACUGUGGCCCGUGGGUCUCAGUUCUCAAAUCAAACCUGUAUCAGAAGAUAGUGAUAGAGAGGCCUGUAAGCAAAAACAUUCUGCAGUCAAGAGUGUAGAAGAGAAAUUUGAAGCAGUAUUAUCACUGAAGAGGCCCUCUGAUCAGGAAACCAGAUAUAGAUCCCUCAAUAACAGCAAGGAAGUGAGCCCCGUUAAAGUUGUCAAUGGAGUUGCCGUUGUACCAGGAAGGACUCGCACCCUGGUUGAGAGAUUUGAAAGGAGAGAGAGAUUUAGUAGCAAUGACGAUCAAGCAACUGGCGUAUUUGGUCCUGUGAUACCUGAAUGGCUGAAUAUCAAGCAACCAGCAUAUCUCGUACUGUGAUACCUGAAGAUCAAGCAAGUAGCAUAUCUAGUCCUGUGAUGCCUGAUGAUCAAGCAACUAGCAUAUGUAGUCCUGUGAUACAUGAAAUGGAUAAAGCAUUCACCAUGCAGCGAGAAGAAGAACCUCAAAUUUCUGGGAGGCACAUGUCAUCUGCAAACAAUGAUCCUGCUGAAGAUCUGAUGCAAACUCAUGAUGCAUUCCUAAGUACUCUUCAAUCCAGCCUGACAAAACUGCAGCUGCCCCCUUUGUGCAAAUUGCUGGUGGUGAGACGUUUUUGGGAACAAAAUGAUAUUAAAGGUGUUAUCAGUGCUAUCAGAAAGCUGCCAGAUCAUUCGGUACAUGCAGAUGUGAUUACUGUUCUCCUGGAGAAAAUGGAUAUUCUGACAUUAGAUCUCUUUUCGUGUUUGCUGCCUGUGCUUCUGGGCUUGCUAGAAAAAUUGAGAGGCUGGAGUGCUGCAACCAAUGCUCUGUGCACCUGCAAAAGAUCCAGAAAAUUCUCCCAGUCUUUGUAAGGAAGGGGGGCGUGCUGGCAAGAUGUGCUCUAGAAUUGAAUCUAAUUCUUCAAGAGUCAUAACAGAUACUGUCUGUCAGAACUGCAAAAAGGUGGCUUCACUGAUAUAAUGUGUAACAGGAUUGCAUACACAUUCAUCCCAAGUUACAGUUCCUAUCACAAUUGUCUCAAUGCUCUCUACCUCCUCUAGUCAUACGCCAAGUCACUUAAUAUUGAUAGACUAGAGCUCAGGAAUUUUGUGAGGCAAAGAUUAAAGCAAUAUCAGUCUUGCCUGAGGAGCUUGAAGACGGUAGUCAUCCCUUCCUAGAGUCAUCUUCGGCAUUACUUAAUAUUGGUAUACUAGAGCUCAAGAAUUUUGUGAGGACAGUCUUGCCUGAGGACAGGAGAAGUGAUCCCUGCAGUAUUAGCGUUCAGGCAUUGCGCAAAUUCUCCUGAUUUUGAUGGUCUGCUGAGGGAGAUUGCUGUUUGUGUCUUAAUUACCGUGUAUCUAAUUCUCAUAUAUGUAUGUACAUUGCAAUGUAGAUCCUUCAAUGAUAUAAAUAUAAAAAUUAAAAAUA